CAAAAACAUUCAGUUGCAAAAAUUUAAGUACUAUCAUUUUGGGAGCAGCAUGGCAAAAAGUUCUCCCAUCUUCUCCCCUUUCUUCUUUGGUUUGGUUUUCUUAGUUUUGAUUGCAGUCAUUUCUGAAGGAGGAGGAGGCGUGAGUGGUCAAGACUUAUACUGUGAUCCUGGUACUGGAGUCCCUCGCGAAGCUAAAUCAAUGGACUAUUGUAGUUACUUUUGUCCACGUUAUUGUUUAAAUACCUAUGGAAAUUUGGGAGUUACUUCUGGGAAGUGCUUUAAUAUUCCCAAUGUCAAUACACAACUUUGUUUCUGCUGUGUUGUGCUGAAGUCCUGAUGAAAUUGUUAUUGCACCCCCGGAGUCCGGACACCACCAGCAUGCUGAAUGCUCAAAAAUUUGUCAGAUCGUACCCAAAAACUAAUAUUAAAACAAUAAAAAUAAACUCAA